GUUCCCUGGUGUUUUGUUUUUCAAAAUGUACAAGAUGUAAAUCCACAGCCAUGUGGUUUAUUUUCUUUCCAUAGCUCAUAUUUCUUUAAGGAGGCUAAUUUUAGUAAAGAAAAAAGGGUUGGAUUUCAUCCCUCUGCUUCCUACAACAGACAUCUGUUACCAGUUGAAGUAUCAUUCCCUCUGAAAAUAGCAGCAAACAGGAAAUUGCUCACACACUGAAGUCUCUUCAGGUUCCCGUGUGAGGUCAUAAAGAUGGGACACGGCGGUGUGGGGAGCAAAGCUGGCGCUGGCGGCUGACAGGCCCCUCCAGUGGCCAAUCAGGAUGCAUGUUUCCUCAAUGGGUGUCAGCAAGCUCUGCUUCCUGUUCUCCCUAGCUCUCUGUGCCCUGUUGCUCCUCAUCCCCACCCUCCAGCCCUCACAGCAUCAGGGGGACCUUCCCCGGCCCCGGGCCCACAACAAGCCUGCCCGGCACCCUGGACGUCUGGUGGUUCCUCUCCAGACAGAUAUGGGGAAAGUGACAGUGGGGCGUAAUGGGAUUGAUGGUGACUCUAUGGGGCAGAGUACACCAAGAGAGACCAAGAGGACUGUGGAUGGGGACUGGGUGUAUACAGCUCGUCAAGCUGACACCCAGGGCGCUGGGAAGCAUAUAGACUCUCAGACAGGGU